rnacentral:misc_RNA from 1 species
UUAAUUCGACGAAUUAAGGUCAAUCUGCAGCCAAAAAAAAACAUAAUAAUAAAAUAAAAUAAAAUCGUACAAACCUUUUGGGGUUUUAUGGUUUAAAUGAAUUCCACAAAAUUUUGUGAAAUUCAAUUGAAUUCCAUAUAUCAUGUGAUUGGCUUGUAAAAAUUUUAAAAUUGAAUUUCAUGGAAUUGGUUAUAACUAAAGUCACUUCCUAUCAGAUUUGAUGGAAUUUGAAAUGAAUUGCACAAACUUAAAAUAUCAAAAUUUUUUGGACAAAAUGCCCAUGUAUUUGUCACAAACACACGUCCACUCACUCACUUUCUCUCUGUCAACCUUCUUCCACCCG